rnacentral:rRNA from 1 species
GUGUCAGCAGCCGCGGUAAUACGUAGGAUGCUAGCGUUGUCCGGAUUUACUGGGCGUAAAGAGCGCGCAGGCGGCACCCUAAGUACUUUGUGAAAUCCACCUGCUCAACGGGUGGGGUGCAGGGUAAACUGGGGAGCUAGAGAGCGGUAGAGGGGGGUAGAAUUGCUGGUGUAGCGGUGAAAUGCGUAGAGAUCAGCAGGAAUACCCGUGGCGAAGGCGGCCCCCUGGGCCGUAUCUGACGCCGAGGCGCGAAGGCUAGGGGAGCGAACGGGAUUAGAUACCCUAGUAGUCC